rnacentral:rRNA from 1 species
GGCCGGGGGAAUGCGAUUCAGGCCUAACACAUGCAAGUCGAACGGCAGCACGGGUGCUUGCACCUGGUGGCGAGUGGCGAACGGGUGAGUAAUACAUCGGAACGUACCUUAUCGUGGGGGAUAACGCAGCGAAAGCUGUGCUAAUACCGCAUACGCCCUGAGGGGGAAAGCGGGGGAUCGCAAGACCUCGCGCGAUUAGAGCGGCCGAUGCCUGAUUAGCUAGUUGGUGGGGUAAAAGCCCACCAAGGCGACGAUCAGUAGCUGGUCUGAGAGGACGAUCAGCCACACUGGGACUGAGACACGGCCCAGACUCCUACGGGAGGCAGCAGUGGGGAAUUUUGGACAAUGGGGGCAACCCUGAUCCAGCAAGGCCGCGUGAGUGAAGAAGGCCUUCGGGUGUAAAUUAAUUGGUCAGGGAAGAAACACCGGCUCUACACAGUCCGGGAAUGAC